UUGGGGUUCUGGUCGAUCGACAGGAGAGGAGCAAGGGGUGAAAACCCUAGCUUUUCAAAAUCCACAAGAAUCAAUAGAAAUCUUAAGGAAAUCGAAAGUAUAAUCAGCAAAUUCUAAGCUCCUACACCUGUUCUUCGAAGUGGCGUGAAGGAAGAAGGUACAAGCACUAAGAAAACGGAAGACACGCAUGAUCGAGGUAAAUCCUCAAUUUAGGCAACUUGGAGAAUCGGAGCGAGCACGUGUUCAUGUUAUGUCAUACCAAGCGCUUCCGCUAGCUUGUUCUAAUGUUUUUGGUCCAAUACUUGUUUAUUUUGCAUAACCUUGUUAGUAGUCAUACUUUUCAAAACUUGUUGUCUUGGUUUUUAGUAGUACCUUGUCGAACGAAUCGUAGAAUUGUAUUUAGUUUGAUUAUGUUUAAAACAGGGGUAUGCUCGUUUUAUGGAUGGGUCAUGCCCAACUUUUGUUAAAUUAAUGCACAUAUGUUAUUGA